AAAACACAACACUGAAAUGACGCUAGAAGUGUUUCACCAGGAUCUAAAAAUUGAGAGCAUAGUUCUUUGGCACAAAGCUAUGGAUGUAAGUCAAAGAGAACUGUAGGAUGAAGAUGCUAGAAGUGUUUCACUAGGAUCUUGAAAUUGAGAGCAUAAUUCUUUGGCACAAAGUUGUGGACGUAAGUCAAAGAGAAGUGUAGAAUGGAUAUAACCCAGUGAGAAAUGUAGCACAUACUAGGUGCUUGAUAUAUUCUGCUGGUAUUUACAGAAACCACUACAUGUGAAACUUACAAAUCAAGCACUACUUUUCUAGUGCAAAGAUAGAUUGAAAGGCUAGACUUCUAAAACCAAGCACUGAACAGGAAAAUUUGCAAUAAAAUACUGGACAUUAACCAGUGUGGUUUCAAAGGUCAAUCACAACAUAUAACUUUAAUGGAUGCAAUAAUUAAACCAUGUUAUAAACUUUCAUUAUUAACAACUCUAAAAUACUCCAUUUUCACACAAAGGAGAGUAUCCAUUUUUACAACUCUAAAAACUCCAACAAUGCAGUAAUAUCCAUGGCGUCACAACUUACAUAUUUUCUCAUCAAAAUAUCAAAAUAUGUGAUUGACAAUCAUGCUUAAUUGAUGUAUAACACUUUGAAAAACAGAUACUUCAUUUUCAAUAUAUAAAA
rnacentral:misc_RNA from 1 species